rnacentral:tRNA from 1 species
GGAGCUAUCAUCUAGUGGUAAGGAUGCAAGGUUUUCAACCUUGUCACAGGGGUUCAAAUCUCCUUGGCUCUAC